UAAGAGAAAUCAGAGAAGCGGCGCUACCGUUCUUCUUCUUCACUGAGCUUGGCUUUAACUCGCCUGAGUUUCGAGCUCACUCACUCAAAACGGUCCCCCUCUCCACGUCACCUCUAUUUCCUAACAGAUUUGUCAGAGAGGAGUACGAUUAUUCCCUCAAAACUGCGGAUUUGGUACAAAAGGGACGAUUUGUUGGAUAAAUGGGAGCCUGUGAAUCAAUACACGCCCUCCAUUUGUCCCAAAAAUUGUUCAAGAAUUUGAAGGAUUUUUCGGAUUUGGGCAGAUUUUUGGAGAUUUUUAAAAGCUAUAUAUAUGAGGUAAGUUCUAUGUGCCAGAAGAAGAAGAAGAAAAAAUCGGAUAAAACUUCAGAAAACUUAGUCGAAAUUUCUAGGUUUUUUUAGUUGUCACUUCUUCAGACUUUCUUCUUCCUUUUUUUCCAGAAAACAUACAAAAAAAAACAAAGAGCACAAUGGUUUGAUUCCAAUCUCUUCAGUCGAGUUUGCUUCAUUUCAAGAGAUAUUUCUAACAAAAAUCGUUCAAACAGAAUCUAUUUAGUGUUUAUUUAUUUCUCUUGAUUUCUGGUUAUCAAAGGAAGAUCGGUAUGAAGUUCAAGUUGGUUUUGAGUUUGAGGUCCGAAAUUCCAGUGUUGAUGUGGUUUAAGCUUGUCGAUCCCUGUCUCUGCUGCUGAUUCGUUCACUAUUGUUGCUGGACUUCAUCCCCAUCAUUGAUUAGUCAUUUUGGUUAUUUUCUUGCAAGCUAGCAACUCAAUUGUUGGACAGCUUUCAGACGGAGCCUUUCGAAUUGCGGAAACCUCAGGCGAUCAAUCAAAGCUCUAGCGAGACCCACUUGUCGCACCGAACUCGAACCUGACUCAAGAAAAUCGAUCAAGCUCCAGCAGUUUCGGAGGUGGUUUGGGGUGUUUUCCGGACUGAUAUUUCACAGUACUUCAGAGCAGAAAGAUGCUAAACUUUGGUGGAGAAAAGGGAGAAAAGAUGAGGUUUAUGGAUAGGGGAGCUAUGGAGCUUGAGUGAGAUAUUUUAAUGGCCGAUUCUCAGCUUUUGCUAUGAAGCUUUUUUCAUUUUCUUAUGCCUCCCCCAGAUCUAUUCUUUCUGUUUUUUGCUUCUUUUCUAUCUCGUUUCCAUGCUCUUUUUUGUUCCCUUUUCCUUCUGUUUCUCGUCACUUUUAGGAAUUAGGAAAAAAUGGAUAUUGAAUCUUUUUCUUUCAAGAAAUGACUGCCGUCUUUUUGUUUU